UGCCAGCAGCCGCGGUAAUACGAAGGGGGCUAGCGUUGUUCGGAAUUACUGGGCGUAAAGCGCACGUAGGCGGAUUAGAAAGUUGGGGGUGAAAUCCCAGGGCUCAACCCUGGAACUGCCUCCAAAACUUCUAGUCUAGAGUUCGAGAGAGGUGAGUGGAAUUCCGAGUGUAGAGGUGAAAUUCGUAGAUAUUGGGAAGAACACCAGUGGCGAAGGCGGCUAACUGGCUCGGUACUGACGCUGAGAUGCGAAAGCGUGGGGAGCAAACAGGAUUAGAUA
rnacentral:rRNA from 1 species